rfam:Dipodomys ordii contig_40244, whole genome shotgun sequence.
GGUGGCUCAGUGGUAGAGCGCUUGCCUUGCAUCCAUGAGACCCUGGGUUCCAUUCCUCAGCACCA